UAAAAAUUCUGCCUGAAUACCACAGUAUAGCUCCACCUUCAGCUUAAAACAUAGAAUUUGACUCAUUUUGAAUAAAUUUUAGCCAAUGGCUAAAGAGUAAGAUACUACGUAAUCCAGUAGAGUACUACGUAGCAGCUCUGUGUCAACGUUAUAAAAGCAUCGGGAGUCUCGGCCACGCCUUGUGGCGAGUUGGGAGUUGGAUUUGCAUGAGAGUGUAGGAGGCUAGCCGUAGUUCAGCAUUAGCAUAUAGCAUUAGCAUAUCCUAGUCUUUAGCAUAGCUUUUAGUGUUAUACAUACUUAUUUAGUGUUAGCUUGGCUGUUGGAUAUUGUAGUUUAGUUACUGUUUGGCUGUUAGUGUAAUUAGGAAAGUAGUUCGGGUUUAGUGCUCCAUAUCGUGUUAGCAUGGUGAGAUGGUGUAGUGUAGUAUGGUUGCGGAGCUCUGUCGGGUUGCACUCCUUUCCGCUGGACUUAGAAAUUAGGCGCCAGUGGUUGCGUGUCUGGAAAAGAUUCAGCUCCCGCCUGGUGCUGUAGUUUGCAACCAGCAUUUUACCCGCGAUUCUGCACGUCUCCGUUCCAAGAGGGAGGCUGUGCCCACCGUGGCUCUUCCGCGAUUUAGAUACAGACCACCGACUCUGCUCCCCCACCAUGACGGGCUACAGUCUGAGGUGAGUAAGCUAAAUAAAAGUUUUAACAUCUUCUAAAGACAAUUUCCUACCUAAAUGCAAAGUUUGAGAGACGUGGUUCACUCCAUUUAGCUAAUAUCAGUCUGCACUGCCUUCGGGCUGAUUUGUCAAGUUCACAAAAUGUGGAACGGGAUGUAAGGUUAGAAUCAGCGGCGAAUCGGAACAUAUCUCGAAGCCCUGGCCGACAAAACGGUCCACAUGACUGUCAGGCUCAGAGAAAAUUCGGGUUGUUUUUGUGUCAGUCGGUAAUUCAGCAACAGUGACUCUAAACUGACGCAGCACUAGUUGACAGACAGCAUUACAGCGUGAAAUCUAGCACAGCGUGACCCGGUUCCGUGAGGAAUUCUGUUCAGGAGGUCGCAUUUCAGGGUCUCCACAUCAUAUGUGACUGACUUUUACUUUAUAAUAACAUCACACACUAGGAAUGUUAUAAAGCGCCUAUAUGGGACAGUUUCUUUUGUAUUUUAUCUGACUUUAUAAACAUCAAUGUGCUUCUAUUUUUUUUCAGGCUAAAUCUACCCAAGACACUGGCUGUCAGACUGAUUUAGUAAUCUGCAAGAAUGCACUUGUCCAGGCUGACGUGAAGCCUUGCCCGUAGCAAAGAGCUCACAGCCUCAGUGUCUUGUGACACAGGGACCAUGACAGAAAUUCAUCUUCCAGAAGGUCCCAGAGCAUCCACACCCCCUGAAAAGACCACGGUGUGAGGUGUCUGCUGUUGAUUCCAGCUUCCACCUCAGUGACAGUGCAAGCUCAGUGAACAGUUCAAGGUAAAAAAAAAUUAAAACAUUUCUGAAUUUUUAAGAUAUUAACAAUUAAAUAAGUAUGUGAUUACAUCAUGAAGGAGGCUACUGAUUCUGGCCCUGUGACACUUGGUGGUCACCACCAGGUGGUGACGUGUGAGCUGAUUCACCUGGACACUCAGCAAAAUAUGGACUCUACACCAUGAGGCAGGCACACGUUAAUAACUCUAUAAGAGUACAUAAGGUAAGCAACACCACAUAUUAUUUUUAUUACUGUACACUGUCCUGGAUUUGUUUUCUUUCUGCAUGAUUUGUUUUCUUUCUGCAUCUCAUCAUUAGCCUGGCUGAUCACCUGAUAACUCAUGUUAUCUGGUUAUGACAGCAUGAGGAUGUCCUCACACACCUGUAACCUACCAGCUCAUCUGGCAGAAUAGAGAGAGAAGAGACAACACCACAUCUCCUGUUCCUGGAAAGCCUUCAGCCAUCCUUCGAUGACUGAGAACCUCCAUCAGCUCUGUCUCCUGUCUGCCUACAAUUAUUAUAAUAAAUAUUGUGUUUGACAAGUU